UGUCUGGCUUGACCGGGGUGCUUGGCGUGCCCUAUACCCGAAAUCGUCAAUACGCGGGGGUGACAGCAGGGGACGGCUCCUCUGAACAUUCAAGCCCAUCUAGCAACUAUGAAACCUUGUCCUAUAGAGUUGGUGUUUGUGACGAAGACGGCCGGAGGGUCGUUGUUCACACAUUAAUCGGGGGAACCGGGUCAGGUCCUGACGGGAGCAGCCUUACUUCGAACUACUGACGUUUACGGGGUAGCAGGGUUGAGACGCGAAAUGGUAAACUUGAAUCGGGAGGGGGUGUCAACCCCUGUGGCCAGGCG
rnacentral:SRP_RNA from 1 species